rnacentral:misc_RNA from 1 species
GAUGAAGAACGCAGCGAAAUGCGAUACGUAAUGUGAAUUGCAAAUUCAGUGAAUCAUCGAGUCUUUGAACGCACAUUGCGCCCCCUGGUAUUCCGGGGGGCAUGCCUGUCCGAGCGUCAUUGCUGCCCUCAAGCACGGCUUGUGUGUUGGGCCCCGUCCUCCGAUCCCGGGGGACGGGCCCGAAAGGCAGCGGCGGCACCGCGUCCGGUCCUCGAGCGUAUGGGGCUUUGUCACCCGCUCUGUAGGCCCGGCCCGCGCUUGCCGAUCAACCCAAAUUUUUUAUCCAGGUUGACCUCGGAUCAGGUAGGGAUACCCGCUGAACUUAAGCAUAUCAAUAAGCGGAGGA